GACGGGAGGUGCAAGUCCUCGUCAGCAUAACUGGGCGUACAGGGUGUGUAGGCUGUGAUGAAAGUUGUAUUCGCACGCGACCGAUGUACAGUAGUAUGCUGCAUGCAAUACUUCAUCACUGGAGUUAUGCAGGUGAUAGUGGAACCACAGAGUCUUGCAUGACCAGGCAAACGACUCGUGAGAACGCCAAUAGGUGAAGACGAAUAUCAAUGCAUAACUGACGCUAAUGCACAAAAGCAUGGGUAUCAAAUGGG
rnacentral:misc_RNA from 1 species